UGGUCAAUCUAGAAAAUGAGAAAUAAUUUUGUCUUCAAUAACACUUGCCCUGAUCCACAAUUUGCUCUGCAACAGGUAGCUUCUUCCCUCUCCACUAUGGACCUUGCGAGACCGGUUAAGGAGAACAUAGUCAAUGAAAACCCGAACAUGAGAAGUGUCAGACCAGUGAUUUGGGUUCCUCCUCCGGGGAAUUACCUUAAAAUUAAUGUUGAUGCAAGUUGGGUUAGAGGCCUACCUUAUGCAUCGUUGGGUGUAGUUAUCAGAGACAAAUUCUCCACCCUCUUAGCAGGAACUCAUGCUAAGUUCUUCUCUUCCUCUCCUCUGACUGCAGAAGCUAGAGCCAUCAGAGAAGGAUAGACCCUUGCUCAUAACCCUAACUGUCC
rnacentral:lncRNA from 1 species